GAUGAACGCUGGCGGCGUGCCUAAUACAUGCAAGUCGAGCGAACAGACGAGGAGCUUGCUCCUCUGACGUUAGCGGCGGACGGGUGAGUAACACGUGGAUAACCUACCUAUAAGACUGGGAUAACUUCGGGAAACCGGAGCUAAUACCGGAUAAUAUAUUGAACCGCAUGGUUCAAUAGUGAAAGACGGUUUUGUUGUCACUUAUAGAUGGAUCCGCGCCGCAUUAGCUAGUUGGUAAGGUAACGGCUUACCAAGGCAACGAUGCGUAGCCGACCUGAGAGGGUGAUCGGCCACACUGGAACUGAGACACGGUCCAGACUCCUACGGGAGGCAGCAGUAGGGAAUCUUCCGCAAUGGGCGAAAGCCUGACGGAGCAACGCCGCGUGAGUGAUGAAGGUCUUCGGAUCGUAAAACUCUGUUAUUAGGGAAGAACAAAUGUGUAAGUAACUAUGCACGUCUUGACGGUACCUAAUCAGAAAGCCACGGCUAACUACGUG
rnacentral:rRNA from 1 species